rnacentral:rRNA from 1 species
GUUUGUUUGAAGCUAUAAAGAAUUUGACCUGCCCACUGAUUUAUAAUUAAAGGGCCGCAGUAUUAUAACUGUGCUAAGGUAGCAUAAUCAUUAGGUUUUUAAUUGAGAUCUUGUAUGAAUGGUUGGACAAAAGUAUAACUGUCUUUAUAUUAAUUUUUGAAUUUAACUUUUAAGUGAAAAGGCUUAAAUAUUUUAAAGGGACGAUAAGACCCUAUAAAACUUUACAUUGUAAUAAGAUUUAAUUAAAUUUGAAUAAUAAAAAUUAGAUUAAAUUAUUUGUUAUGUUGGGGUGAUAUAAGUAAAAUGAUAUUUAACUGCUUGACGAUAGUACAGUAAUUAGUGUAUAAAGAAAGAUCCUUUUUAAAGAUUAAUAGAUUAAGUUACUUUAGGGAUAACAGCGUAAUUUCUUUUGAGAGUUCUUAUCGAAAAAGAAGGUUGCGACCUCGAUGUUGAAUUAAAAUAUCUAUAUAAUGAAGAAGUUAUAUAAGAAGGUCUGUUCGACCUUUAAAUUUUU